UUUCUAGAAUACACACAAACAUUUGUAUCAUAUAUUGAUAGAAGAAGAGCCAAAAAAGUCGGAUACAAGUCUUUCAGCCAUUAUAAUGCCAAUCACAUGGAUUAACAACCCCAUCCACGAAGCACACCCACCACAUGUACUAUCAUACAUGUUCGACCUAGACCAACCUCAUGUCAAUGGCGAUGAGGCAAACCAUAGAGCAAUAAUGUCGUGUCACAGACCUCUACAACAAUAUCAAGACCCAGAGACAAUCCAGACCAACGUACCCCGUCCAAUGCGCCAAGAGAAAGUGGGCAAGUGGACGUGAGGGUCUGAACGGUCCACGAGAAGGCGUAGUUGAGAGAACACCGAAGAUGAACUACAUUGCACUCCGAAGGCCCACGCCAAG
rnacentral:lncRNA from 1 species